rnacentral:rRNA from 1 species
CCCUUAGAUGUUCUGGGCCGCACGCGCGCUACACUGAUGCAUUCAACGAGUCUAAAACCUGGUCUGAUAGGGCUGGGUAAUCUUUUGAAAGUGCAUCGUGAUUGGGAUAGAUGAUUGCAAUUCUUCAUCUUCAACGAGGAAUGCCUAGUAAACGCAAGUCAUCAGCUUGCAUUGAUUACGUCCCUGCCCUUUGUACACACCGCCCGUCGCUCCUACCGAUUGAAUGAUCCGAUGAAUACCAUGGAUUGAGAGUACGAAUAGGUUCGCUUAUUUCUGCUGCUCGAGAAGUGGAGUAAAUCUUAUCAUUUAGAGGAAGGAGAANUCGUAACA